UGGGGAAUUUUGGACAAUGGGGGAAACCCUGAUCCAGCCAUGCCGCGUGCAGGAUGAAGGCCUUCGGGUUGUAAACUGCUUUUGUACGGAACGAAAAGGUCCUUUCUAAUAAAGAGGGCUCAUGACGGUACCGUAAGAAUAAGCACCGGCUAACUACGUGCCAGCAGCCGCGGUAAUACGUAGGGUGCGAGCGUUAAUCGGAAUUACUGGGCGUAAAGCGUGCGCAGGCGGUUAUAUAAGACAGAUGUGAAAUCCCCGGGCUCAACCUGGGAACUGCAUUAGUGACUGUAUAGCUGGAGUGCGGCAGAGGGGGAUGGAAUUCCGCGUGUAGCAGUGAAAUGCGUAGAUAUGCGGAGGAACACCGAUGGCGAAGGCAAUCCCCUGGGCCUGCACUGACGCUCAUGCACGAAAGCGUGGGGAGCAAACAGG
rnacentral:rRNA from 1 species